rnacentral:lncRNA from 1 species
GAACUGGCAGCCCAGGAGUCCUCUCUCCUGGACCCUAGCCUAACUCCCUCUGGCUCCUCCUCCUCCUGUUCCACUUCCUGUCCUUUUCCUCCUCCUCCUCCUCCACCACCUCCUCCUUCCCCUCCCUCGCGAAAGGAAGCCAGCUCAGGGGCAACAAGUUUCACAAAUAGUGACCACUGCCUGGUGCUGCUUAGUGGCUCUUGACCAGGGACUGUACCCCAGGGACAUUCAACAAAUGUGUGCUGUCAUCUUUGUUUGUCAUAGUUGGGAAGCAGGGAGUGCUGUUGGCUGGCCGUGGAUACAGAGACGGCCCUUUCCCCUACAGAGAGGGAAGUGGUCCCAACCAGCGAGAAGCCCUGGCUUGGAAUGAACACUUCCAUUAGGGAGAAACUGGGCCACCUGCACCGGCCCUGUCACGGUUUCCCCACACCUGGGCAAGUCACCCCCCCCCCCCCCGCGCCCCCAGUCUCUCUGAAUCGUCUAGUCUAGUCCCCACUCCCCUAGUGCCUCCGGCCUUUCACGCCGGCCCUCUGCCACUCAGCUACCAGUGUCACUUCCCCUAGGGUCUUGUCCCCCCUUUCAUCCUCUGCCUCGCAGGGGUUGCGGACCGCCUGUCAGGCAGGAGUCAGCCGGCGGCUGCACGAGGCUUCAGAGACCGAGCUGCCCGCUGCACUCGGCCUGCCUGGCCACGGAUUGGCCGAGCUGCUGUUUCCAUGGUGAUCACCGGCAAAGCCCGGCCCCCACCUUCCAUCUCCUCCCCCGCCCCCCUAGGCCCUAUUCAGUGGCGAGAGCAGCGACAAGCAGGUUAAUAAAACAGGAGCUGCGUGAGGAGCCAGGCUGUGGGCCGAGGUCCCAGCGUGGUGGCCCGCCCAGAGGAGAGAGGGGCGGUGGGGGUGGGGAGUAAGGAGCUUGCUUGGAACGCAGUUAGUGCCCGCCCUUCUCCAGACAAUCAGGGACUCCACCCACUGCAGGUGCCGGGGCUGUUCCUGCCCUGGGAUAUUGGGGCUUCAUUUCCUCAUGGUGCGCCUUCCCACAAUGGCCUCUGGGGGCAGUGUCCCCACCCCCAACAGAACCUCCAGAGCCCUGUAACUGGAAUGGGAGAAGGCUGGGGAUGAGGGAAGAGACAUGGAGUGGAAGAAUAGGGGCUGAGAAAGGCUAGGACUGGGAAGAAGAGUAGAGCGAGAUGAGGCUGAGACAAGAGUGGUGUCGCGCUUGAGGAUGGGGAAAGAGACAAGAGGGGAAGGAGGAAAGAAGUAGGAAUGAGGCUGCUGGCAAACGCCGAGUUGUUUGGGAUGGAUGGAGAGAGGGGCUGGAGGCAUAGAGAUGAGGUGGGGUGGGUUUAGAGCGGGGGCUUCAGGAGGUUGCGAGUUUAAAGGUUGAGAGGAAAGGGAUUGGAGCAGGGACUGGAGGAAGGAAGUGGAGAGGGCUGAGAAGGCUUGAUAGGGACAGACAUUGCUCAGCACAGCCCCAGGCUGACUCAUACCACACUUGUGUCCAGCGUAGAGCCUGAGGGGUAGGUGCUGAGUGUGUGCUUGCUGCAUAAUCACAGCAGUGGAGGGAUGAGG